CGCAUGCUACCUAGCCCUGGGCUCGUCGUUGGGGUUUCUCAUAGUGUAAAUCUGCAGACACAUAACAUGAUAUGUUCGUUUUGUAUGAACCCCUAGAUUUAGAUUGCUUUUUUUGGCACAAAUAUUCGUUUGAAUUUAUGUAGAAUACUGUGUUUGAUCAUCACAAUUUGUGAAAUACCAUGGCAAUUUCCUGUAACCAGAAACCUACAUAAUUUCCAUGUUGCUGAAUGCGAACAAAGCAACUCCUUCUGAAUCAAUACCUUAAAUAUUUUUGCUGUACUGCUUAGUUAGUAGAUGGCAACUUCCUCAUAUCCACAAACCCCUUACUUGCCAUGCUUCUUCAUGGCAACAUGGCAACUAUCCCUGACAUGAAACAAAUACACGUUUUUCCGUUCCUCCAAUUAGCAGACAUGGAAACUUUGUCUAAACCACAAAUGCAUCAGUUGCCAUGCUACAUCAUAUUGCCAUGACAAUUUUAUUCUGUUUUCCCCAACACUACACAAUUUGUUUUCAACUAAAACUAUCAUGUUAUGUACUAGUGUUGGGCAUGCCACGUUACCUGCGUUUUUUGUCAUAAUUUGUAGAUUCCUUACAUUUUUAAUAAGAACAUGACAAUUUCUGUUCAACCACAACUCAUCAUUUAGCCUUGUUAGAGCAUCUAUUGCAGACCCCUUAAAACCGCGCGGGCCGUACAAUUCCGGUGACUAUACGGGAUUGGCCUGAUUUUUGGGCCAGACCAGACCCUGUAUAGUCAGCCCGACCCGUAAAAAACUUACAGUGGCCUGGAAACAACCCCCCUCCCGCGCAGUAUAUAUCCGGGUCCGUGGCCGCUAUACAGGUCGAAACCCUACACCCCUGCCGUCGCGAUUCCACAUCCCCCCCCUAUGAUUUCUCGCCGUCGGUGACAUAAAUCCGCCGCCCGGCCCAUCGAUCCGCCAUUAUGUGGGGCGAGAUGUGGAGCUUUGGCCGACGCAGUGGCGACGAACCCAAGAGAAAGCGUUGCGUCAUCUCCGAUGCAGCGAGGAAGCGAUCCGUCCGGCGGUACGCCAACCGUGGCCUUGAGCCAUCGCCGCCCCUUCUCCGCAGCAAAAUGGAGGAGUACGACCGGCGGCAGGCUCGGCUCUCCUUCGGCGCGGGCUGCUCGUACGACACGUGUAGCUCCUCCAGUGCGUGCAUCUCGUGCACGCCGCUGUCGCUGGUCAAGAGGUAGGCGGAGGAUCGCCCGCCGCUCCGAGCCGUGAGGAGGGAGCAUGAGGUGGAGCGGCCGCCCGCCAGCGUCGGGCCAGAGGACUACCUCCCUCCUCCGAGGAGGCCGUCAUCGAGGCGGCGAUUCUCGCGCGCAGUGCGCGGGAGGAGGAGGAGGUGGUGCAGCACCGCCACCAGGACAAGGAGGUCAACAACGUCCUGCUCUAGCAGGACCUCAUCAAGGCACUGGAGUUUGAGGAGAAGGAGGAGGCGUGGCACCAUGAAGCUGAAGCACAAGACUCCAUGUACAUCGACCUCACCUUCGACAACGACGACGAGUGAUCACCGCAGCGUCGCCGUCGCACCCGCAAGGCUUCGAAGAAGAAACCACGCAAUAGGGGUUUGUAAGAAAAGCUGACUGAACUAAACAAAGGAUUCAACGAGGAGAAGAAGGCAACUAAUGCGGAGAUGGGGAUGCAGGCUUUGAUGGAUGUCCAAUGCACAAACUUGGCUCAGGGAGAUUUAUGACCCCGCUUCUGGGGAAUUUGUUAUUCGAGGACGUGCUUUGGAUUAGGACUGUGUUUACUACACUUUGGGUGUCCCCAUGGCGGGAUCGAUGUCCCUUACCAGGUGGACAACAAUGUUGAGGAAUGUUUGGCCCCCCGAUUGUUUCCCGGCGAGCAAUCCAUGCCUUUCAAGACUUCCCUUGAGAAUUCUUUGGCUACUAUGAAAAUCCACGGGGAGGUCUUCAAGAUGAAGCUCUUAAUGUACCUGAUCUCAUCCAUAUUUGCGCCUACCACGUCCCUUCCCCCAAGCAGUAGAUGCUUUUCUAUCCUGGACAAGUUGAAAGAUGUAAAAACAUGAAUUGGUGUAAGUUCACUGCUGCUUCCUUCAUGACGCCUUCGCCAAAAAGAUGUACUACAAGGGUUGCCGCCUCUACCUAAUGGUUAGUGUUUUUAAAUGUUUACACAUGGCACAUUAUUUCUUUCUUCACAAUCUAGCGCAUCCCACACGGCUAAUCUAGCAGAUACCACAUGGCAACUCUAAUAGAUCAGAUGUGGCAACUACAACAGUGCAUAUAUGGCAAAUACAGUGGCCCAGACAUGGCAUUUUUUGGUCAUGACCACAAGUCACACAAAACACCUUUCAAAUGUCAACUUCAUUUUAUUCUCCCACAUUGUGAUUGUAACAAUGUUUAAAUUUUUACAUAUAGUUUGCAACUCAUGGCAAUUAUAGUAUUACAUACAUGGCACAUAUAGAAUAUCAGACAUGGCAAGUAUAAUAUCCCCUCCGUCCAGAAAUACUUGUCCUAGAAAUGGAUAAAAUGGAUGUAUCUAUCGAUUUCUAAGAAAGUAUUUCCAGACGGAGGGAGUACUUCAUACAUGGCAACUACAUCAUUUGAAAUAUGAAAAAUUUAGUACCACCCACAUGGAAAAUAUAGUAGUCUGCACAUGGAAACCCUACUUUUACCACAUGUCAAAUGCAGCACUACCCAAGCGGCAAAUCUUCUACCUCAUGUCUCCUAUUUCUUCCAAAACAUUGCGUCAUAUGUGCUUUUUUUCUGUUCUCAUUCUUCAAUGAUUCACUCAAUGUAUACUAACAUGUUUCCCCUUUCCCCCCAUUUUUUGGCCGUGUUCUUACAACUUAUGUACGUUGACAAGCUUGACAUCUCUAGUGUCAACCUCGUUGAGUUAGGAGGCCCGCUUCCACCACAUAAGUUUGUCAUCCAUGCUUGGAAUUACGAUGUGGUCAAGGUUGUCCUUCUUGCAGACAGGAUAUCCGACACAAUGUAUGCAAACUCCAGCUAAUGGCAAAGCAUUCUAUUAACUACAACUUCUUUGGUGGACCAUAUAAUUUCACCAAAUGGUUGGAUGUGCAUUCAGGUCCAUCUUGUUCCCUCGAGGCGAGGGGUUUUGUCGAGCAUCUUGUCGGCUAGUUUGCGUCUGGCAUGAGCAACCUUCUUGGGAAAUUGGUUCAGUGCUGGACGACAUUGUUGGGUGCUGAUGGUGAUGCAGUUGCCAGUAAUUUCAUUUCUUUAGUUGGAGAACGCACAUAUCAUCCAACUGGUUGCCAUGGCUGGCACGAUGACAACAAUUCUCAGGAGCUCCGCAAUACCCAAGAGGAGUUGUUCAGUGUUGGAUCUGGUGGUGAUGGUGCUAGUCUUUACAAGGAAGAAGACAAUAGAUGGAGAAUGUGCACCAGGACAUUGGCCAUGAUCAAUCUCGGGAAAUUCAAGAUGGAUCUCCUACUGACAAGGCUUCACCAAUUGUUCCCCCAUCCAGGAGACAAAAUUCUUCCAGUGUCGCGAGUGACACCAGUGUUUCUACUUUGAAAAAGGGGAAGGGUGCCAGACGAUGCCUCUUAGGUCCCUGCCGGCAAGAGGUUUGGAUUGAUCCUGUUGCUGCUUGGAGUAGGUUUGGUUUUUGUUCCUUUUGACAUAUGUUUUCAUCAUUUCCCAAUGUUUUCGCCCGUAAUAGGCUCUAACUCUUCUUCUUACUCUCUUGCCCGUGUUUUUCGAGUCCAGCGUGUUGGGGAACGUUGCAGAAAAUUAAAAUUUUUCCUACGG